AAAGUAUUUUGCUGGUUCCAAAGCACAGGAAUCUGAGUGAUUGAUGGAAAAACUUACUAGUGCCUUUGUGCUAAUGUAGCUGCUCUUAACAGAAUCUCAAAAGUACAGAGACACCUCACGAAGACACAGAGGUCUGUUUCUAAGUGAUAGCUGUUUCAGCUGCUUCUGGUCUCUAAAUAGACACAAGGGUCUCACCCCUGCUGACAGCACUGCAAGCCAGGAGGCAUUUGGGGCGGUAACUCAAAACAUCCCAUAUCCAGCUGUCCUGAAGAGCUUGUGAGGAGCACAUCUUGUCUGUAUUUUCCAUCUAUAACAGCUGGACUGAAGGAAAAAAGCACGAUGUUGCUGAGGUUCAUUUCCAGAUAGUAGUGAUUAUUUUUAAGGCUGCUGGUGAAGGCAAUACCAGCAAAAUACUCCAAGUAUAAAAUUAUACAUUAGUUCUCAUUAUUUGUGUUACGGGUACAGCCAAGGUUUUCGCAGUUCAUAUACAGAAUGGAAAAUAAAUAUAAUAGUAGUAAUAAUAAUAAUAGUAAAUGGCCCAUAGCACCUGAACUGUUUAUCUACCUUGAGACUUGCUUAUAAAAGAUUACCAGUUAGAAGUUGGAAAUUUUGUCUUCUCUUUUUCUUUCUUACUAGGUAAGGUAAGGAAAAUGCACAUGAAACUUGGAAGGUGGUGUUGCAGGUCCAGUACCAGAAAUCCCUAUGGCAGGUGGUCUGCUGCAGUAUUCCCAAAGAGCUCAUCUGUGAUGAUGUUUGCUGUGAAAACACUGGGGGGAAAUGGCUGGAUUUGAGCCAGCCUCUCAAAGAAGCUUCCUGUUGUUAGCCUGUAUUUUACUGUCAUCUGCAGAGUUUUGUGGAAUAUCUGAUAUUAGUGACUGGACUGUGUGAGGCAGCAAAUGCUGUGGACUAUUCAUCUGCUCUGUCAUGGAAAUUUCUAUCUCAAAUUAUUCAGAGGAAUAUGUGACAUUCUUGUGCCAUGGAGUUUUCCCCAUCAAGACAUCUGCCCUUCACAGACUUUGGAAAGCUCAGAUGUGAAAAUAAAUUCAUCCACAUCUGUAAUUGUAGAGAAGGAGUGAUUGAAGUGCAGGGAGCACCUCUUGCCAACUUUAACUUAGCUAAUACAGUUCAGGACUCUGCCUUUCCUUAGCCGUGACCCAGCAGAUGAACUUCUUGUUGCAGAGAGAGGAUGUGAGAGAAGAUGCCUGCCCAGGGCAGGGCAUGGUGUGCCUGGAUCCAGUGAGUAAUAAUCCAGGGUAAAUUACAGUUUACUUGGAAUGUUUUCGCCAUUAUGAUUUCAAAUGUUUGAUCAAGGUGUGAAAAUGGUGGGGAAAGGAAGGAGGGAAACGGGGAAGGAAG